rnacentral:lncRNA from 1 species
AAACAAUAAUGUUAAUUUAUGUUAACUACAAACUGUCUUGGACAUUGGUUUUUUCAAAUUAACUCCGUGUUGAACUGGUUCUUCUUGUUGUGUGCUGCAGCCCAGCAAUCUGUUCAUGCCAAAUGAUUGAGUCCUGGUGAGGUUCAUUGCUAGACAUGCACGGUCUCUGCAGGCAAGGUAUUUGAAGCUUCCCUUUGGUCGCUUUUGUUUUAUUUCCAAAGAGCUGCAAGACCUCGAAAGGAAAUUUUCGUAUUGAUGUGAUUAGCAGUGUAUUUAACAAUGCAUAUAUGUACGCGAGUUAUGUGUAGUGUUGAAUCUGAUGUGGCUGAACUAUCUUCAAUUUAUGAAGACCUAUUUUCCUUUUUAGCAUUUUGUACGAACAAUAUACUUAUAAUCAGUGUGGACUUUAUUGUAAUUUUGGUUGUUCUCUCAUAAGUAGAGGCAUGCUUUACUGCAUUUAUGACCACAAUCUUCAAUUGCCUGACCCCAACAACAAAACUCAUGAUAGCAACAAUGUAUUUGUUUUGUGUAUUUUGGAUUCGUUCCUCUAUGGCUGCAUUAUCACAGUUUUCUCCUUGCAUGUAAAGAUGAAUCUAAAAGAUGUGACUCCCUUGUAGUAGCUUAAUAAUAAAUUCUUUCCUCCCCCUCCCUCUUUGUCGGAAAAUGCUGGUACCGUCUUCUACUUUAUUUAGUCAAGAAGAAAACCCAUUUUCACUUAAUUUGGUUACUCUAUUCAGGAACACAUAAAAGUAAAUCAGCGUGUUAUCAGAAACUCAUGAGCAUGAAAGAGAAAUUUGGAUCAUGUGCGAACAUGGGUAGAGAGCAGAUCGAGGAGAACUUGAAGAUUAAAGGCAAUGAAAGGUAUGUGCCUAUAACCAUUAUAUUUUUAUGUUGAAUAUUCGCUAGCUGGUAUGUGCUGAUUUCCGACGAAGUAAAGCCUGACAUCAUUGGUCAGUGAGGUAUAACGAAAAUAAUCAUUAUGGUGAAAGUACAUGCAAGAUAAUAAAGAACUCCUUAUUAGGAGCAUGCAUAGUUUGAAUUAAUCUUUCAAACGGAUUAGGAAGUAGAGAUAGUAUAUACUUUAUAUCUCAGGGAAUGCAAGAGAAGUACUUGCGCGGCAACGAAGGAAGACUUGCUAAUUACAGGCCAAAGUACUCUAUAGUGGUAUUUACAGAUUAAAAGUUUAGCGAUGCUAAUUUCGGUAUCUACAUAGAACAAAGCCUAUAACAGAAAAGCGUCAAUGGAUUUAAGAUGCGGGAGGAUUCUGGAUAGUUGGCCUCACCGGAAAUAGAUGCGCUCGGUUGUGCUCGAUACGGAUACGAUAGUAAGAUAUCAAAUAAAUCACAAUUUUAUUUCAGGUAUGAAUUAUCAUGGAAUUCGAUGCCACAUUAUAAUUAACGUAUCUGCAUCUAUAUUUCUAACAUCGAUUUACAGAUUGGUCGUCAAGUGGCUCAGGCUAUAGGGUGUAGGCAUCAACGUACAAAGAUCACGACAAUAAGUAAACAUACAGUCUGCAUUGGGGCCGCAUCAUAAAUAUUUCUCUAAUGUAGAACACUUGAGUGGAGUCUAGUUUUACAAGAAUGAAGUGACCAAGGCAGUGUGCAAUAUUUGUGCAGAAAAACAAAGCCGAGUUUAGAUGUAGUAGAUGAUUGAUUACAAAACAACAAAAGAAUAAUAUACAUAAGCAAACCAGCAAAAUGAAAAAUAAUGUCACAUACAGCAAAAUUUGGCAACUUGCAAAGUCACAAAUCCGAGGCAAUAUUAUUAAUACUUGCCUUGUACUAUAAACAUAAUAAAGUUCAAUUGCAAACAUCAAAAGAUAUAGAUAUGUACAAAGACACCAAAGAGCACCAAAUUACCUGUAGCAUAAGAGUAAAUCCUCUCACAUAUUUAAGAGCGGACUUCAGCCUGUAAGGACUUCCUUAUAGACGAUGUUCUUCAUCGAGGUCUGUAAGGACAAGGCAGGUCUUUUUCGCUUCUUAGAUUUACCGCUUUGCUUCUUGGCAUUCUCCUUCUCCUUCUCCUUCUCAGUGAGGAUCUUUAUAUUUCUCUUUGCGGUGGCUCGAGACAAUGCGACAUAGAGUUGACCAUGAGAGAACACCGGAUUAGGUAGGUACACGCCAACAAUCGGAAUCGUCUGGCCUUGAGCCUUGUUAAUCGUCAUAGCAAAGCUAAGCCUUACAGGAAAUUGCUUCCUCUUGAACUUGAAUGGAAACAUGUCGUUGUCAGACGGGCAUAGGGGUAUUCGAGGAAGGAAUACACUCCUACUUGCGUGUUGUCCGAUCACGAUUUCUGCGUCGAUGGCGUUCCUCUCGAAACCUCGCACCACAAGCCUCGUCCCGUUACACAGACCAUUAGCCGGAUCAAUGUUCUUCAGAAGUAUGACAGGGUAGUUGAGCUUCAGUUUGAGUGCAUACGGAGGCAGACCGUUGGGAGUCAAUCCAUUUAGGAACUCAGGAGCGUAGUAGCCAUACGGGUCGCCUUCUGCACUGUCAAAGCUAUGAUAGAUUACUUCUUCUCCCCGAAAAUGCUCUACCAUGCGUAUGUUUAUCUUGUCGAUGUUGUCGUUCAUGGUGGAGAGGAUUGCGCGUGAAGUCAUGUAAUUCGGAUCGGACUGGUCGUCAUCUAGUCUCGGAAACACAUGGUCAAUCAGCUUCUCCAGGUCGUCACCCUCACCUGUAGACGACACAAAAAUAUCUUCAGGGAGUCGUAUGUUUCCUUGAUCCUCAACUUCCUCAGUGCCAUUGCCUACCCUUAGCAAGUAAUCGGCAAACCAGGUGUCAUUAUGAGCCCUCAUGUUGGUGACGAGCCUUAGCUGGCGCAUACCCUUCCAGAGGUGUGAACUUCGGAGGGUUGCAUCAAUUAUCUGACCCCGGGACCCCCUCCUUUCGACGGGAAGCACCUGCCUGAAGUCCCCGCCAAACACAACAGUUUUUCCUCCAAAGGGUCGGUCUCGUCUGCCCAUGAUGUCACGCAUGCUGUUGUCCAGUGCCUCGACCGCCUGUCGCUUAGUCAUGGUGGCCUCGUCCCAUAGUAUCAAUGAGGCCAUUCUCAGUAGCUUGGCGGUACCACUCUGCUUCGUGAAGGUGCAUGAGGCGCCAUCAUCGCAGCUCAACGGGAUCUUGAACCUCGAGUGGGCAGUCCUGCCUCCAGGCAUGAUAGAAGCGGUGACGCCUGACGUCGCGGUAGCGAUAGCGAUGUUUCCCUCGCUUCGAACCUUCGCGAGCAGCGCCCUGUACAGGAAGGUCUUCCCUGUACCUCCCGGGCCAUCAACAAAGAACACACCCCUAUCACCGCAUUCAACAGAAGCUAGUAUCUCGUCGUAUGCAGCCCUCUGCUCCAAGUUUAGCGACAAAGACAAUUUAGUGUCAUUGAUGUCAAAAUUUACGUUGGAUUCCUCGAUCACUUCUCUGGCCUCGCCCUCUGUUGGGUCGAAAGCAUUGUUAAUGCAUGGAAGAGCGAAAUCAGCUAUGUCUUUUGCCCAUGGACUGCAACAUACCCCUAGGCCCUAAUGUCAAGCAACACCAUCUGUUCCACCCUAAUCGGGCGCGUGUGUGAUCGCUGAUAGUCAUCAGACAUAGACUCGAAGUGCCUAUCCCAUAAACCACGCACGUCACCUGGCUCACAGUGCACCAAAAUUGUUGCGAAGAGCCUCCUGAGCGAACAUGGCAUCGCCCACUGCUCUGCCUCGGUAAGACACUCGUCGAGUGUGUUAUCUGCCUCGAUGAGUCCCAACCUUUCGGUAACCUCUCUAAAGCUCCCGCAUAGCCUACCGUCCACGGUGAGCAGGUCCUCAUAGGAUGUCUUGCCAGCAACAUGGUUUAGCAGCACACGCAGAUAGUUUCGCUCCCCCUCGGAAGGAUUGGCAGGCACAAUUCGACCUAUCUGAUAAUGCUCCACCCGCUCUUUCCAAUACUUCUUACCCUUCUGCCAUGUGAACCUUCCAGGAAAAUCCUUGUACAAUAUAUUCCUAGCCCAUGGGUGUCAGGACCCCGAUCCUGAGUCACACCGAUCUAGCAUGUAACACAUCAUAUCAAUUUGCGGCCUCACGCACGGUAUUCCCACGGGUGCCACCUUACCUGGCCCGGGACCGUUUGCGCCUUUUGGCUCACGUAUAUGAUAGUGCCGCUAGCAUCCAUAUGACAAAGAACCCGGGCUGACAUGGCUAGUCGUGAACCCAAAGUGGCACUAACUUACAGGGACAGGCAUACAUGACCCAACAACGAACGUGUCGGUUAUCAGCGAGUGAAUCCGGGCUGUAGCAACUAGGCUAGCAGGACUCCGGUAAACCGGGCUGUAGCCGGCUAACAUGACUCCGGUAGACACCGCGUGACAUUUCCCCGAAGGGACAGACACAAGAAUGAAGAAGGACACAUGCCGGCCAGCCUAAGUGUUCCGGAGCAGUAGUAAGCUACCAUGGCUCAGUGGAAGCACUAGGAGACAUUUCCCGGUAAGAGAGGCUACCAAGGAUAAACAACUAGGUUGUCAGAUCCCACACAUACCAAGAAUUACAAUAAGAUACACACAAUAUGCUCGAUAUGUGCAAAUACAACAUGGCAUCACAACAUGACUCUAUGACUCAAGUAUUUAUUAGUAGGCUCCGAGGAGCGAGAUAUUACAAACAUGGGUCUCAUGACCCAACAUUCAGAGCAUACAAGUCAAAGCACAUGCGGAAGCUCAACAUGUCUGGGUACAGACAUCUACAAACGAAAAAGGCUAAGAAGCCUGACUAUCUACUAGAUCCUGUAGAGGGCACCAGAUCGUAGCUAAGGUAACAAACUAAACGCCGAAGUCCACGCGGAACUACUAGCGAGACUGAAGUCUCUCUGCAAAAACGUAAAAUAGGCAAACGUGAGUACAAAUGUACCCAGCAAGACUUACAUCAGAACUAACUACAUAUGCAUCAUUAUCAACAAAGGGGGUGGUGGAGUUUAACUGCAGCAAGCCAGCUUUGACUCGGUGGCUAACCUGAACUACGACUGCAGGUAACUCUUUUGAGGUGGCACACACGAGUCCACAUAUUCACCAUAUCAAUACACCACUAUGGAUCCGCUCCCGUCUCCCUACGAGAACGCCAUCCAUAGCACUCAUGCUUAUCUUGCGUAUUUUAGAGUAUCCACUUUCACUUGUCUAUGAACUAUACAGGCAACCCAGAAGUCCUUUAACGUGGACACGGCUAUUCGAAUAGAUCAUAUUAACCCUGCAGGGGUGUACUUCUUCACACACGCUCUCACCACUUACCGCCGUUUACACGACAUGUACUCGGCAACCUUCAAGCGGAAGCCCAGCGAGGGUGUCAGCCACGACCUGACUAACCACACAAGUCUCUCGUCCAGGUUUAUCGCCUAUUCGGGUUCCAUCCGCAAGGAGAUCCGGCCGGGGUGUCGCUCACGGCCCCAAACGAUGUGAGCAGGGUUCCCAAGCCCACCAUCCGGGUGCCACUUGGUACACCGUUCCACUGUGCCUAGUCUGUCCCAAGCCCACCUGUACCGGGUGCCACUUGGUAGACUACUAACACUACCUACAAACACCAGAAACUAGUUGCAACUCCUGGACAGAGAUCAAGUUGAUUAAUAAGCCAAGAGGGGCCGAGUUACCGGAACCCAAUGUGUGGUAGUAACUGUUCAUGGAUCACAAACACAGAACUCAGUUCCUGAGGACGGCUUCAAUGAGACAACCCACCAUGUACUCCUACAUGGCCUCUCACCGCUACCUUUACCAAAUCAUGUUCACACACUUAGCUCUCAGCAGUAGGACAUGUUCACCACACUCCAAUUCAUCCCUGAUGAAUCAGACCUGACUCAACUCUAAGCAAUAGCAAGCAUGAAUGAGUAGGCACAUCAGGGCUCAAACAACUCCUACUCAUGCUAGUGGGUUUCAUCUAUUUACUGUGGCAAUGACAGGUCAUGCAAAGGAUAAAGGGGUUCAGCUACCGCAGCAAGUAACAGAUGAAUCGGUGUUGUCCUAAUGCAGUAAAAGAGAGCAGGAGCGAGAGAGUGGGAUUGUAUCAGAAUGAACAAGGGAGGUUUGCUUGCCUGGCACUUCUGAAGAUAAUAAAGUUCUUCAUCGGUGUUAUCGAUCUCAUCGUCGGAACACGUCUACUGAGAGGGGACAAACACCGGCAAGAGAGAAAGAACAUAAUCAAUGCAAUGCAACAAUAUGAUGCAUGAGUGUGACAUGGCAAUAUGCUGUGGUUUGAGCUAAUGCAACUAACAACCAGAUUAAAUGAAGUUGGUUUGAAUCCAAGAUUCAAAUUAAAACUCCAUAUGUGGAUAUUUAAAUGCCAUUUAUAUGAUUUUUCCUAAACAGUAGUCAUAAGUUGUUCUAACAUGCAUGAAAAUGGUACAGAUGGAUAGAUUGGAUUUUUCUGAUAAUUUUUCAUAUAUAAAUUAUUUCAUUCUGAGUUACGGUUGAAUUUAUAUGAAUUUUAGAAGUUUAUACUAUUUUCUGAAAUUAAUAAAUCAUUUAAGAUUUAUUAAAAUCCCAGAAACAAAUACUGCAUCAGCAUGACGUAUCAGUGACGUCAGCAGGUCAACGGGCGGCCCAGGUCAAACUGACCGAUGGGUCCCGAGUGUCAGUGUCUAACUAAACUAACCUAGCUUAGUUAAUACUAACCUAACAUAAUUAGUCGGGUGGGGCCCGCAUGUCAGUGGCUCUGGGGAAGUCAAACUGGGUCAACCCGGGUCAAACUCGCCGGAGUUGACCCGAGGCUCAUCGCCGGCAAGGCCGGAGACGGCGGAGGGGCUCGGGAUUCCUCCUCCGGUGACCAAAUGGCCGGCGUAGGGCAUCUACGCGGAGCUGGGACUCGCCCGCAUCCAUCUGUGCAAAUGGUAGGGGCUGAGGUGGCCCGAGCUCGCAGAGGCAAGCUCGCGGCGGUGGCCGGAGUUUGGGCGAUGAUGCAAACUUCGCUAUGGUGCACGGCAGGAGCAACGGGUGGCUUCUAGGUGCUCCUGGAGCUAUACUGAGCACGGAAACACGCUCAGCUUCGAGCCUGAGGGGCUGCAGCGACGGCAGUGACAUGGUUGGUGGGUAGAAGCUUUCGGCUCCAUGGAAAAACACGGCUAGGCGAUGCGUUCGGCAGCGAAAAGAGAGGGGAAAGACGAAGGUGCUCACGUAGAUCACGAAGUGAUGCUCGGGGUAGCCGGGGGCGUGUUGAGGACGACAAAUCGGCAAGGACGAUCGGCGGCGCCUGAGGUUGAAGAUGAUGGUGGUGACGGCAUUGCGGGCUUCCUGCGGUCGUGUGUUUUGCCGUGUGGCUCCACGGCGUCGGGGCGGAGCUAGCGAGCCGGACUGCGAGGCGAGGCAUGCGCGGUGGCUGCGGUGGCGGUGAACGGCGGCGACGGGCUUGCUCAGGUGGCUGCGGGCGCGAGCGCUGGGGGAAGAGGGAGGAACCAGAGGGGGGGGAGAUGCAGGCGGUGCUAGGCGUCUCCAGGCGCGGACAGGCUCGAAGGGGAGGCCGCAAGCACGAAGCAGGAGGUGGAAACCUCAGGUGCGUGCGCGGGUGACACGCCUCUGCCUACUGGCAGAGGUUGGAGACGGUGGGGAGUUGGGCUGGCCUCAGCCACAGUGCUGGGCCAGGUGGGGCGCUAGGUGGGCUCAAGGUAAGUCCAGGUAAACCUUUUCCUCCUUAUUUCCUUAUUUGUUUUCUGUUUUGUUUGUUUGUUUUUAAACUUUGCCACUGUUUAAAUUCCAAAAUAGAUUCUGAACAGUGCCAAAUAACCUCUGGGUAUUUCUAUGUUGCCGAAUGGACUAAUCCAAAGCACAUAAAAUGUUCCAAGGUAUUUGAAAAUAUAUUCUAUAUAUAUUAUGAAUAUAAUUCCAAAUGCAAAUAGAAUAAUGAUUUAAAUUUAGUGCCCAAAAUAUUCCUCAAAAAUGUUCAUUAUUUUUGGUUUGGUGCAAAACCUUUGCCAAAGUAUAACCAACAUUAUUUAAGGCCAUUUUGGAAAUAGUGAAUGCAUUUUCCAGGGUUCUUUGCCCUUCUCUUAAAAUUUGUGAGGCUUGGAAAAUUCCCUCAAUUCAAAUUCCUUGAAUUCAAACAUGAUGCAACACCAGAUGCUAGCACUUGGCAUUAACAGAACUAGGGAUGUGACAAUGGGUGGUUUUGGUUAGCUUUGAAAUACUCUGUCAACAUGGAUUUGGAAGCAUUCUCAGAGGCGACUACGUCGGUCAAGUGAGCUUGCUCAUUGAAUGCCACCCUAUGCAUAUUCGGGAGAUGAAGAGGCAACUGUAGGACAGGCGGGUCAUUGGCACACAAGGGAAAGCCAAAUAUCCUCCACAUCACCUCUGGAGGAGUAACCCACCUCGCGUCUAUGUAUCUUUUGAUCUCAUCAAUGUUACCAUUGGCAUCGGGCUGGUCGAUGCUGAAAGAAGCCCUAUCAUGGCCCUUGUAUAUGUACUUGUAAAGGUAUUUGACGGCCUUUAUGCUGGAGCAAACCUCAACGUUGAUGUGGCAAUUGAACAUCCGCAGAAGGUAAGGGUUAUAUGGCACAACCCAUCUAUUGUCCAACAUUUUACCCCGGACCUUAGCCUGCCGACCAUUAUCUCGACGACGAUAAACUGGGUAUGAGUCCUUGCCCUCUGUCGUGUUUUCAUUGAACGGCUGCGGGUAUCUGCACUUACAGUCGUUAUGUUACAUGCACACAUUGUUGGGGUUGAGAGCACCGCAUGGUCCGUGCAUCAUAUGUUUCACCACCAAGGCGUGGAGUUCAGGAUACUUCUACUUGUCUGGGAGCUCGACAGAAAUGAGUCGGUCGUACUGCUCCGGAACAACAAGCUUAUAGGCAGAAUCCAUGAUCAACAAAAAGUGUGCGUGGGGGAGGCCCCUCUUCUGGAACUCGACUAUGUAUACAUGUGCGACAACAACACCCAAGAUAUUCUUCUUGAACAACAUCUCUUUCAUAGCCUCUAGCUUGCCAUGGAACACACGAGCCACAAGAUCAGGUCGGUCUUGCGUUGUCUGACCAGGAAACAACUCAUUCGUUAUCUCUUCCCAGUUAGGGUUGCAGGUCAUGGUCAAGAAGAUGCCAGGCUUCCCGUAGGUAUGGACAAUUGCCAUGGCAUCCAUAUGCCUCCGCUUCAUGUCGCGGUCGCCACCUGGGUACGUUCCAGGGAGCACUAUCCUUACUCCAACAGCGCUUGCCCGGGUCUCCCCGGAUGUAAUUGCAUCAACAACUCCUUUAUACAGGUCGGCACGGAUCUUUGUCUGGUUCUUUCUGUACCAUUUCAACCUACAACUCUCAAUCUUGAUGUACAUGUCCACCCCCAUUGCUGGAGCAAUUGUGCUCCACAGAGUAUGGGAUUGAAUAUCCCAGGUCGUGUCUGGAGCAUGUAACAGUAGUAGUCUCUCACCGAGACGUAUAACCUGCUAUUCCCCUCUGCACAUGGAUGAGUAACACGGACAUUAGAAUUCAUAUGAGAAGUAUACAAUUCAUCUAAACGACAGAAUACGAAUAAGGCUUACCUACAUCCUCCUCAUCAUCAUCAUCAUCACGUAUACCUCUUGGUUGUUGCACAACCGGCCAAGGGACAUCACAUUUAGGAAGUUUCGGGUGCCAACCAAGCUCCCCCCUUGGGUAGAAGAGUGGGUAAGAGAGCGGGUCAUACGAGCCAGCCGUCACAUGUAUACUUUGCCUCUGGUUGUCAUUCUCGCAAAGUGUAAUCCUACGAUCGAACCUCUUCGCUAGGUCAGUGCCCUCCACCCAAAUCGCAGCGACCUCAGAUGAUAGAGGUCUAUUAUACUUCCGUUGGUCUAGUCUCUGGUCAGUGUUGAGGUCUAUCCUGUAAUCGUCGAGGUUGAACCUGUGCGCACCCAAACUCCUAAACUGCUGGGAGUAUGGGUUUUCCCUGAGUAUGUCCACUAUCUUUCUGACGACAUCCUGGUCUAGUUGCUCGGUGGCAGCCUUCCGAUGGGUUAGGCCUAGGUCGUCGUCGUAGAAGUACAACUGUAGAUGAUCUGGACGUGACGUUGGCCCGAAGGAAUGAACGUUGUGGUAGAUGGUGCCAUGCGCCCGGAACGUGUACACCCUAGACUUCAUGUUUGUGUAGCUUUUCAAGGCUGACUCCGAGGGUUGUGAAGGAGAAGUGGCUAUUGAAGAACUGUAUGUUCUCCCGAAAAUGCCUUGAGUCCGCAUCCAUGCUAGACCAAAGCCUCAUUAGCUCCGGGAUGGGCUCCGGUUGCUUCAGUUGGAUCUGCCCACUUCGACAGCAGAAUCUCGGGGCCUCGGACACAAACUUCUUGGCCUUGCACUGAUCGCAAUUUGCGGUGUGCUUCAGGAUGUGUGUGUGGUCUGGGAGGUUUGAGUAGACAUAGUCCAAUGGAUCAUGGUCGACAUAGGUAUUUUGACUUGAGUCUUCCAAUUCGUCGUGCUCCAUGUCAUCAGCAUCUGAGCCUGCAAACAAUGUUUAAAAUUAGUGUGAUAUUCCCAAGGGGUGGAUGUUGCUCAAGUGGGUGUACAUACCUUCACCAGCAAACAGGUAAUACUCAUCGUCAAAGAGGCUGUCAGGGUUGACAUUAUCAUUCAUGAGACGAUUAAGGUAAGCGUCCAUGUCGUCUGCUCAGGUGCGAAACCAAUAAAUGAGGGUUCAGUCUCAAGGGACGCAAGGAGAGUAAGGAUGGGAGUGUUACCUUCACUUCUGAUCGUGUACUCCAGUGUGCUAGAUGUGGUCGAGGCACCGUGUGCUUCCACUACGGUAGGUUGUCCACUUGAGCUCAUUUCCGGUAUGGAGAUGGACCUAACGGUUGGGGUCUUCACCCUACCUGCAAACCUUUCAUUACGCCGAUCUAGUAGAGCAUUCCUCUUACCACGUGGUACCUUCUGUGAUGUUUUUUGCUUGCCAAUUUUCUCCUGACGCUUCUUCGCCGCCAUACUUCCCUUGCAAGCUUGCUCUCUCGUCCUAUGCCGAGCUCUGGACUCAUGAUUCUGCUCGUCUGCUCCGUUAUCCACUAUUGUUACCGGAUCACUGGUUAGCUCGUUGACACUUUUCAGGUGAUCAUCGAUUUUGAUUGGGUCAUCAUCUACAGCCCCAUCACCGAAGGUUCUACUUAGGUAGGCACUUGCAACAUUUUUGAGUUGUCGUAAACAACUGUUGAAUGUUUACAAAAUGAAAGCUGGUUCAUGAUGGGAUAAGUACCAUCGGUUUCGGUGUUUCGAAUGUAUGCGGGGCUCUUGGUGAUAGCAGGAGCAUGAUCAAUUUGUUCACCAUGGGAUUGUUGCCCAGGAUCCAACAUGAGGAUACUAUCGUCCAGCGUACUAGUACAGUAGGCGGCUGCACCGAUAUGGAGCAAGUAAAUAUUUGUUUAAUGCAUACGAACAUAAGAUGUGGAGUACACAGGCGAGGAAUACCGUAAGAUUUGCAGGCGUUACCGCAUGUGCUCGCCAUAGAUGAGGUUGCUAAAUCAGGACGAGGCAUCACGAUGGAUUCAACACACGGGGUGUUCUGGAUAGCUUUCUCUCGCUGUCGGCGUUGAGCACUAAUCUCCCCUUUCUGCUCUGGUGUUAAGCUAUCUCAAUGUUUCUGAGCCGUUUCCCGUCUUUGCGUGUUUAUUUGUUCCUUCUUCUUCUUGUAAGCGGCUCGCCUCUUUGCGUUUAUGAUAUCUAAUGUGUUUGUGUCCUUUGGUGUCUUCAUCUUGUAAGCUACUCGUCUUUGUGUGUUCAACUUAUCCUUUUAUUCUUGGUACCCUUCCUCUUCUAUUUUCUUUUUAUAAGCUGCUCGUCUCCGUGCGUUUAUGGCAUCAUUUUUUCCGUUGAUAAUGUCCCUUUACGUUGGCCCUCACAGCCCCUUAUAGGUGGACCUGUUAUUGUAGGUCUAUACACAUUAGCAUCCGAACCAGAACAAUCAAGUUCAAAGCUCUCAUGGUUGACUGGAGGUACAACAGUAAUACUCCCUCCGUCCCAAAAUAAGUGACUCAACUUUGUACUUAUUUCUGUUUCGAUGUUUGUAGAAAAUCAAAGGAGGUGUGAGUUCGAAAGUAAUACCUGGACUACCUAUGGGGAGUUCUAUGGUUGACGCAGAGGGGAUUGUUGUUUCAUGUACAAUCAGGCCUCUCAAUCAUUGUGGGUCAGCUGUAAUGGCUUGCGAAAGGGAUUGUUCAAAUUAUUCAAAAUUCAAUAUGAAAGGCAUUUAAAGAUUGUCUCAGAGUUAUACCUAGACUCCCUUUGGGUAGUUCAAUGGUUGAGGGCGAUGGGGUUGGUGCUUCGCGAAUAAAUAGUCCGCUUGAUGGUUGUGUGUCAGAUCGGUUGUCUUGCGAAAGGGACUUUGUUAAUUAGUAAGAAACAACAUUGAAGGUGAAUUACUAAAAAUAGUACACAAAUUCCAUAUACCUGGACCCUCUUUGGGGAGUAUAUUAACAUUGGUGUCUUCACCAAGAGCAUGUCGGAGGCCAUUUGUCGCAUCCAUCUGUCGAUGUCGGUCUUCCUGCUGUUUCUUCUUCUGAUAAGAUUCUUGUCUCUUUGUGUUCAACUUAUCCUUUUGUUCUUGGUACCCUUGCUCUUCUUUUUUCUUCUUAUAAGUUGCUCUUCUCCAUGCGUUGAUGACAUUCCUUUCUUCCUUUGAUAAGGUCCCUUUACGUUGGCUAGCACGGCCCCUCGUAGCUCCAUCUGUUGUUGUAGGUAUACACAAGUUAGCAUCUGAUUUUGAACAGUAAUAGUAUUUAUGGAUAAAAUCGUGCACCAUCAGGGUUGCCAUAUAUUAAUUAUAUACCAAACCAGAUGAUUCGCAACAAUCCUGUAUGAUGGAUUAAAUUUACCGCUUCAUUAUAUUUAUAAAUUGGAAGGAAGUGUGAGUUCGGAAGCUAUACCUGGACUACCUUUGUGGUUUUCUACGGUUGACGGAGAGGGGAUUGGUGCUUCAUGUAUAAUCAGGCUGCUCGAUGGUCGUGGGUCAGAUGCAACGGCUUGCGAAAGGGAUUGUUCAAAUUAGUAAUCACCAAUAUCGAAGGCAUUUAAAUAUUGCUGAUGAGUUAUACCUGGACUCCCUUUCGGAAGUUCUAUGGUCGAGGGAGACAGGGCAUCUGCUUCACGAAUAAACAAGCCACUCGAUGGUUGUGGGCCAGCUCCAAUGGCUUGCGAAAGUGAUUGUUUAGGUUAAUAAUUUAACAAUCACCAAAUACCAAUCAAUUAUCAAUUAAAUAUACCUGGACCCUCUUUGGGGAGUCUAUCAUAAUUGGUGAUAUCACCAAGAGGUUGUCGGAGCCUAUUUGUCGCCUCCAUUUGUCGAUGUCGGUGUUGCUUAGCAAGAUUCACCCAUUCCCAACGAGAACCAAACGGGCUCAAGUCGUUUGAGGACAUCACUGUCAUAGACAGUUAUCAUUGGCAAAGAAGACCAAUAAGUACCGUAUACUAUAUUUAACACACUUUAAUCUACAUUGAACAGAAGUAAAGUAAGUUCUUGGCAUGUUUGGUACAAUAACGCUUCUCUUCAGUUUUUGUGCCCAAUAACCAACAUUGUCAUGUAAUGCAUUUCUUGCUACAGGUUCCGUAAAAUGGCAGCGGGUAGAGUUCUUGUCCUGCACAAAGGAAGGUAACUAACCUUCUUGUAUUAUCUUUAUAUUUGCAUGAUUUUGGUGGAAGCAACAGAACAAUUUGAAAUGCAUUGAGUUGUGCAAUGGAUUAACUACUUUGGUUCAAGUUUUCUUCUUCCUAGGCUAGUCGAGAUUAAGAAAAGCAAAAAAAUAUGAGAGUAGAUGAAACCACACAGAAAAGCAUAGAGUCAGGGGACAACAUGAAAAUGUUGCUUUGGCCUGGCAGCAUCAUCUCGUCCUCCAUUUGUAGUAUUUUUUUCUCGGACACAAAUCUUAUUUCUCAUACGCCACUGACAAGACAAACUUGCUUGGAGUUUUGGCUCCAGGGAGCAUAUACUCCCUGGUGAACAGUAAAGAGAAAACAAAAUCCUAAAGAUGGAUCUUGUUUUGUAAACACAAUAAAUUUUCAAAAUCCUGAAGCUUUUCUGUAGACCUUCAUGUUAGUGUAACAAGCAUGCUUGCCAAUUAUCUCGGUCUACUCCUUGCUCUUGCUUUGGUGUCAUCACUCUACUACUCUCCAUACAGUUUCACCCUGACAUGAAAAGCUAGUUCUUAUUAUCCAUGUCAUUUAUUUUUGUAUGCAUUGGUAACGCUCAUAUGUAUAUAUGUGCUAAUCAAAUAUUUGGAUUUUGAACCACCAGACCAUUCAAAUAAAUGUAUGGACUCUCACCUAAAUAUAAAUAAAUGGCAGGGAUAGUUCCACCAGUACAUGCUUGAGGAACACUAUGUUUGACCACCAAGAUAGGUUUGUGCCAAGUACUGAUUUGUGACAAGUAUAUAUACAAACUGAAGAUAGUUCCAUCAGUAUAUAUAGAAACUAAAGAUAGCCAACUAAGUGCAUAUAAGUGCAUACUGGAUUCCAUAUCAAUUAUGUACCACAGUUAUUUUAACAAGCUCUUGAUAAUAAUAAAAAAGGAACACUAUGGAGCUAAUCUGAAAUCGCACAAUCAUAUUUGUGCUGCAUUUAUUCUGAUAGCGUUGCUUGUUGAAUAGAAAUCAUGUAUAUAUCAAAUUAUCCUCCUUAGCCAUGUUCUUGGUACAGGUUACUUUGGUAGAACGUCAGAAAAAUUAUAGCCGGGGUUAGGAUACCUCUCGAGAAGCAGUAAGUUUUCGAAAGGGUUGAAUGUAUACAUAUGUCAUGCCUUGCUAUGCAUUGGUUGUAUACUUAAAGCAGUUUAAUCUAAUACUUUGAAUAGGUAUAUGCCUCGCUAGCACACAAGAACAGUCAGGACCAUGUAUGAAUCGGACGAACAGUUGGGGCUAUGUCACACCACCAAUCGAACAGUUGUAUAGUUAGCCCAGUCUCUUCCCGCAUUAGUUUAACCAGAAGCGAACUGUGUACAGGUUACUAACAUGUGUCUCGCUCACAGACGCGCCGGCACCCGUGGAUCGCUGGAAGCCUCACCGACACCCAUGUCUUGCUGGCAGCCGUGGCGGCACCAGGGGCAAAGUUUGAAGAAACAGGCCUCGCACACCUGAUCGGACGGCAAACUUUGAAGAAAGAUAGGAUUUGAAAAUUAUUUGUUGUAUAUAGAAAGAGCAAAAAUAUUAGAUUAAACUGUUGUUUAUGGAAGCUUCUUGUGACGGAAUUUUCUGAUAUGAUUCCAUAUGAUUUGAUUUAAUUGGUGUCGUAAAUUGAAGGGAAGGAUGGAAGGUUUGUUGUUUUAUAUGGAAGGGGAUGGAACGUUUGGCUUGGUUCU